GUGCUCGCUUUGGCAGCACAUGUACUAAAAUUGGAACGAUACAGAGAAGAUUAGCAUGGCCCCUGUGCAAGGAUGAUACGCAAAUUCGCGAUCCAUUUCAUAUUUUU
ensembl:snRNA U6 U6 spliceosomal RNA